AUGAACGCUGGCGGCGUGCCUAACACAUGCAAGUCGAACGUUAGGGGGUAGCAAUAUCCCCAAAAGUGGCGAACGGGUGAGUAACACGUAGGUAAUCUGCCGCGCAGAGGGGGAUAACGGUUGGAAACGACCGCUAACACCGCAUGGUACUGUUUUGAUGGGAAUCUGAACAGUUAAAACUAUUGUGCUGCGCGAGGAGCCUGCGUCCGAUUAGUUAGUUGGUGAGGUAACGGCUCACCAAGACGAUGAUCGGUAGCUGGUCUGAGAGGAUGAUCAGUCACACGGGAACUGAGACACGGUCCCGACUCCUACGGGGGGCAGCAGUGAGGAAUAUUGCACAAUGGACGCAAGUCUGAUGCAGCAACGCCGCGUGGAGGAUGAAGGUCUUUGGAUUGUAAACUCCUUUUCUCAGGGAAGAGUGAGGACGGUACCUGAGGAAUAAGUCACGGCUAACUACGU
rnacentral:rRNA from 1 species